GAUGAACGCUAGCGGCAGGCCUAAUACAUGCAAGUCGUACGGCAACACAGUUGCGAGCAAUCGCAACCGGUGGCGAGUGGCGCACGGGUGAGUAACGCGUAUGUAACCUACCCUUCUCCGGGACAUAACUCCGCGAAAGCGGUGCUAAUAUCCCAUACCAACUCAUCAAGACAUCUUCUUGAGUUGAAAGCAGCAAUGCGGUGAAGGAUGGGCAUGCGUCCCAUUAGCUGGUUGGUGAGGUAAUGGCCCACCAAGGCUACGAUGGGUAGGGGUUCUGGGAGGAAAGCCCCCCACACUGGUACUGAGACACGGACCAGACUCCUACGGGAGGCAGCAGUAAGGAAUAUUGGGCAAUGGUCGAAAGACUGACCCAGCCAUGCCGCGUGCAGGAUGAAGGCCCUAUGGGUUGUAAACUGCUUUUAGCCGGGAAUAAACACCCGUUUUAUAACGGGCCCGAAGGUACCGGCUGAAUAAGCAUCGGCUAACUCCGUGCCAGCAGCCG
rnacentral:rRNA from 1 species